GAUGAACGCUGGCGGCGUGCCUAAUACAUGCAAGUCGAGCGAACGGACGAGAAGCUUGCUUUUCUGAUGUUAGCGGCGGACGGGUGAGUAACGCGUGGAUAACCCACCUAUAAGACUGGGAUAACUUCGGGAAACCGGAGCUAAUACCGGAUAAUAUUUUGAACCGCAUGGUUCAAAAGUGAAAGACGGUCUUGCUGUCACUUAUAGAUGGAUCCGCGCUGCAUUAGCUAGUUGGUAAGGUAACGGCUUACCAAGGCAACGAUGCAUAGCCGACCUGAGAGGGUGAUCGGCCACACUGGAACUGAGACACGGUCCAGACUCCUACGGGAGGCAGCAGUAGGGAAUCUUCCGCAAUGGGCGAAAGCCUGACGGAGCAACGCCGCGUGAGUGAUGAAGGUCUUCGGAUCGUAAAACUCUGUUAUUAGGGAAGAACAUAUGUGUAAGUAACUGUGCACAUCUUGACGGUACCUAAUCAGAAAGCCACGGCUAACUACGUG
rnacentral:rRNA from 1 species